rnacentral:tRNA from 1 species
GGGGUUGUAGCUCAGUGGCAGAGCACUUGCCUCCCAUGCAUGAGGCACUGGGUUUGAUCCUCAGCACCA